GGGCGGUUAGCUCAGACGGCUAGAGCGCCUGGCUUACACCCAGGAGGUCGCAGGUUCGAUCCCCGCACCGCCCACCA
rnacentral:tRNA from 1 species